CAAGAGGAGCUAAGUGGAAUAAGCCUGACAAAAUGGUAGCGGAAGUGUGAUUCCCAUUGAAGACACAGCACAUGUGAAGGCUGUUGGUUCAACAAUUGUUUGUGGAGCCCUUACCAUGGGCCGAGCAGGCGUUCUGGGCCCUGGGCCCACAGCUGAGAGAAAAAAAACAAUCAAAUUCCAGCUUCGUGAAGUCUACGUUUAAGAAGGCAGAAGGAGGGGAGCGGGAAGAGCAGAGGGAGGAAGAAGUAUGGCGCGUCUUCAAGGACAUGAAAUGCCCCGGGUUAGGCCCACGGAAUCCGCUUUGAUUGCCGCUGGACUUUCCACCCGUAGAGCAGCGCCUGGUCCACAGCGCCCUGAAUUCCUCAUGUGUCAGCAGCCUGGCUGCUCUUGUUCCUCACAGUGUAACGACGUGACCUGGGGUUUGGUCACCUGGAGUCCAUCGGGAAGAGAGAUUGGGUUCUUUGCUGUUCCAGACAUGUGCUUUUGAAAGGCGACAGGUUCCUAGAGACACACAAACUGUAGCCUAAGACCAGGAAGAGAGAACAAUGGCAGACUUGGGAACUCUGUGUCACUGUGAGCUCUUGGCUUUGCCCUGCUGAUUUAGCUUGACAGGCCCUCUUGGUCAAGCAACUGACCAGGGCCGGCAAACAGCUGCUAUGUCUGGGCUUUGUUUUGAGGCCUUUUAAUUGGUUUGCCUGAUUCUUUGAAUAAAUGGAGUCAAUGGGUUGUUUAACUUAUUAA